rnacentral:rRNA from 1 species
CACCUCUAGCAUAACAAGUAUUAGAGGCAUUGCCUGCCCAGUGACUAAAGUUAAACGGCCGCGGUAUCCUGACCGUGCAAAGGUAGCAUAAUCACUUGUUCCUUAAUUAGGGACUAGCAUGAAUGGCUAAACGAGGGUUCAACUGUCUCUUAUUUUUAAUCAGUGAAAUUGACCUCCCAGUGAAGAGGCUGGGAUAACAUAAUAAGACGAGAAGACCCUAUGGAGCUUAAAUUAACAAGCUUAAUUAUUAACAUAACCCUCCUAAUGGAACAAAAACAACAUCAUAAGCUUAAAAUUUUGGUUGGGGUGACCUCGGAGAACAAAAAAUCCUCCGAAAGAUUAUAACAAAGACUAACAAGUCGAAGUAAAUAAUACAUUUAUCCAAUUGACCCAAAACAAUUUGAUCAACGGACCAAGUUACCCUAGGGAUAACAGCGCAAUCCUAUUUAAGAGUCCAUAUCGACAAUAGGGUUUACGACCUCGAUGUUGGAUCAGGACAUCCCAAUGGUGCAGAAGCUAUUAAUGGUUCGUUUGUUCAACG